rnacentral:rRNA from 1 species
UGGGGAAUAUUGGACAAUGGGGGCAACCCUGAUCCAGCCAUGCCGCGUGAGUGAUGAAGGCCUUCGGGUUGUAAAGCUCUUUUGGCGGGGACGAUGAUGACGGUACCCGCAGAAUAAGCCCCGGCUAACUUCGUGCCAGCAGCCGCGGUAAGACGAAGGGGGCUAGCGUUGUUCGGAAUUACUGGGCGUAAAGCGAGUGUAGGCGGUUGCCGUAGUCAGGUGUGAAAGCCUUGAGCUCAACUCAAGAAAUGCACUUGAUACUGGGUGACUAGAGGACCGGAGAGGAUAGUGGAAUUCCCAGUGUAGUGGUGAAAUACGUAGAGAUUGGGAAGAACACCAGUGGCGAAGGCGGCUAUCUGGACGGUUACUGACGCUAAGACUCGAAAGCGUGGGGAGCAAACAGGAUUAGAUACCCCUGGUAGUCCACGCCGUAAAACGAUGGGUGCUAGACGUUGGCGAGCUUGCUCGUCAGUGUCGCAGCUAACGCGUUAA